rnacentral:lncRNA from 1 species
AAAAGGGCAUACCAAACAAUAUCCCUGUGGAGCUGGGUGUUUUUGGCCUUGGCAUUCCACAGAUGUGACCUGAGAACUUGCAGAAUGUACAUGAAAGUGCAAUUCACAUAAUUAAUAUGUUCACUGCAUGAAGAUUUUAUUCACCAUAAGUAGGGAUGGUGAAAGAUGGACAGAAAGCACGGAAGUCUGAGGCUCCGAAGGCUCACCUGUUCCUGGCAUGGCAUUCCUAUUCCCAAGGUGCUCUCCUGGGUCUCUGACAGUCUGCUCCCUGCUAAUUGGUGCAGAUGGGAGUAGGAGGAUGAGCAGAGUACACGAGGGAAGAAGCAGAUUCUCCCAGUAAGUAAAGGGCCCUUGGGAGCCAAGGUACUUCGGGGAAGCUGCUUUAACUCUGUCAGGCACGGUGAAAGAGGGAUUUAUGGAGUCUUAUUCCAAGACAUUUUUCUUGUCCUUUGAACAAAUAUUUCCAAAGGGUACACUGGUCUUGGC